UUAAGAUAUAUAAAGGUUUGGGUUUUUUUAAUUGUAUUUGUUUGACUUCAACAUACUUGCUCUAAUGGUGUUAUACUACAAAACAAAUUGGCACGCUAUGUGCAAAAUAGUGAUUGAUUAUACUGGAUCACUUUUUAAAAUGAAAUAUACUAUUAAGCAUUUGCCCAUCUCAUGCUUCAGUCUCAGUGUGCAGUUUGCUGCAGCAUUGGAAAGUAUUAUGUAUGCAUAUCUGCAGGUAUAUUUGAGGGACAGAACUUACGUCCUCUUUUGUUUUUUGAGUUUUUUCUGUAUUUAAAUUAAAAAAGAAAAAGGUAUUUAAUUUUAUGGUGUUCUGAUAGUGUUUCAUGAAUACCAUUCCUUGCAAUGCAAACUUGGUUAACACUGAAGAUGCUAUCACUUAAUUAUUCUUUUGCAAUUGUUUAUCUGAUACUCAUUGUAAGAAAAUUAGCAUUCAAUUUUUUAGAGUUAAAAAAAUGGUACACUAAAUCUUUCUAUUGAAGGCACUCUUUGAACCUAUGGAGUAUUAAUUUAACUGAAUGUUAAACUAGUUAACUAGUAACUAGAGGAAUUACAAAGCGUUGCAGGAUUUUUUCUGUCUUUAUCAGAAUCCUAACAGUGCCAGCAGGUGUGCCAUAAGCUGUUUCCUACAGUACAGAAUUCUCUGUGCUCUGUGAAAAAAAUCUAAUUUUUCCUGCAAACUUGAUUGGACACUGUGACAACGUGUUGGGUUGUGGUAUGUUUCUUUGCCCAGGUCGAUGAUGAGAUAUUCAUCUAUGUGCACUGCAAACUGACCCUUCUUUGCAGGCUGCCAGCAGGGUCUUAGCCGCUGGUUGGUCCCUUCAAGCCUGAGGAUUUGGGCAGUUUCCAGCCCACCUUGUUCCAUUCAGCCGGGCAAUAUUUCCUUUACAAGGGCAUAAAAGGUACUUACCUGCUCGGCAGAUUUAAUUGCUACAGAUUUGGUUUGUGAUGAAAAUCAAUGUCAAUCAUUUCACAUUUUAGAAACAGGAGUUCAACUUUCAAUAUAAAGAUGUUUCCCUUGCUUUUUCUCUUGUUUUCUUUAAAUACUUCUGUGUAAAGUAAUCAGCCCUUAAGCUUCAGUUCUGCAGUAGUGAAAUGUACUGUCAAUUAAUACUUUAAAGUGUACUUCAUUUUCUUCCUUGUUCUGAUACUGUGGAUAUGAUAGGGCAGCGAUAGCUAUGUCCAUCAAAAGCUGUGUGAUCUUACAAAGACUUCAAUAACUACAUUCCUAUAUUAGAUGCAUAUUAACAAGAUAGCAGAUUUUCCUGCUUAUUAGAAACUGUUACCUUGCUGGAAAUAACAUUUGUAUAUGAGUUGAUUUUCAUAGUAUCACUGUGAUUAAAAUGUCACAUCAGCGCUCAUUCUAAUUUUAGAUGCAGGUUGCAUGAAGUAAAUAUUUUUUGUGUUAGAUCGUUCUAUAAUACUCUGGUCAUCUUAAAAAUACAGUCACACCUUUUUGUAUCAUUUUUUCCCCCCUAAUUUUGAACUUCUGAAUCUGAAUGAGCAUUUAUGACAUUUGUGAGUUUUGCUUGAACAGUAGGUGCCAGGCAGAUGUGAAGUGCUGCAGGACAUACAUGUUACCAGCAUUGAUCCUGCCCUUCCAUGUGAGGAUUUGCACCCCAGCCAUGCAUUCCUGCUCAUUGCAUUCCUUUCCCCAACCCAAAAUUGGAUUUUUAGGAUAGUUUGGGAGGAAGGAGAGCUUCACUUGCAAAUGCACAAUAACUGAGAGGGCUGGAUAUUCUGGGUUUUCUUUUGCGAGUUUAAAAAAAACCCCUUCCUUUAGCUAUCAAAGCUUGGUUAGUAUGUUGCCUUUGUUUUAUACGAUUUUGAAUUGUUUGCUGCAUAGAUGGGCACUGACUGUUUUAAAUGCCGUUGGCUGCAAUAGUCUGAGGAAUUAACUCUAUUGUAGUUGUCCCUACUAAUUCUGGAUUUGCAAAAUGAAAGCAAAUGAAGAAUUUUUAGAUUGAAUCUAAAGAAAAAGGGUAUUUUUAUUCAUAUGCUGAAAUUGAGGGGUUAUAUUGAAGAGAGUUUGGUUCAGCUAUGGGAAAAAGAUAUUCACAGAAUUGUGUGGAACAAAAAACAAAUGCUGGAACGUCCUCACCUGUCAGCAUGUAUUAUACAGACUCCUUGGAGAAGGCUAAAAGAUUGGUAUGUCUUAACUACUUAUCUGAGGAGCUAUUGGGGCUGGUAUCUAGCAUUUUCAUCUUGGAUGUCAUUAAGUAACGCUCCUCAAAAUUGAACAUAUAUUGCUGGGGGUCAAGGUGGUCAGAGAUACAGUUGCAACUAUUUUUUUUGUUGUUGUUAAUCUGCUCAAAAUUCUAAGGGAACAUUCAGUAUAAAACUAUUUCUGUAUUUCUGUACUUUCUACUUCGUCAAUCCUGAUUAGUUUUAUUAUGAUUCUGGUAUCACUCAGAAGAUAAGUCUUUCAUGGAGAAAGGAUGUGUUCUUUCCUGUUCGUUUUUGUUCCUGUUUAAUUGUUUUUUGUUUUGUUUUAGAGAGAAGAAUCUAGACGGUGCUAAUUAAAAUUUGAUUAUUAAUAAGGAGAAUAUCUCCCUAAAAUCUCUUUACACUCCCUCAGAACAGGGUAUGGCACCACAGGAAUGUUAUAAAUCUCAUUAAGUUAAAACAAAGAAAAGGCUUAUUUACAGCAGUUGAUUUUAUUUUUUGUAUUAUGCAGUGUAAAGGGUCUAAUCACAAAAGUUCUUUAAACUUGAGCAUAUAGAACCUUUUGUUGAGUAUCUUGGUGUACGUUCCAUCCUUCUUCCACUGACUUGAGGAGCCUCUUUAUAAAAACCUCCUUAGGGGAAUUUCUAUAUGGCAUCUUGCAAGUUUAAAAAGCGUCAGAAAUUGAUCCUUAGGUGUUUUAUAUAUAUGUACAUCCCUCUUUUGUCAGGUUUUUUUUCUAAUAUUAAACCCACUAUGUCUUUUUCCCCUUUUGAUCUCUGACAAACUUCAGAAGGGAGAGACUAUAAUGGAGAGCAGUGGAGCCAGAGACAUCAGUUCUGUCAGCGGCAUCCUUGUAGCAGAACAGAAAAAAUUCAAGCAUCUGCAGAUUAAAAUGUCAUAGCAGCUGUUAAAUCUGUUUCAGGCAGGUUGUUAAUACCAUUUCUCUUUCUAGUGUUCCAUGACAGUAUGAGAAAAGGGGGGAUUGGUGACAUUUGUUCAGAAUUGAUUCUGAAGCUGCUGUGAUCUGCGUUCUGAUUAUUGACAUAAGAAACACCUUGGAGUACGACUUUCAAAUGACUUGUUUGUAAGCAGGUAAGCAAACUAUUAAUUGUAACAAUCCUGAAUAUAUGUUGUGCAGGUUGAUUUUGCAGAGGCAGGUGGCAGCAGCACCAAUAGCACUGAAGCAGCUUGUGCCACAUAACUCUGUUUCUUUAAAUCUGGCAAGAGUUACCAACCGCAGUCUCCAAGAAGAUAAUUUUCCGUUUGUCAGUUCCCAGUUUUAUCUUUACGCUACAGCUGGUAAGAGCCCUUUGACUUUUGUCUUGUCAGCUUGCACCUUGUGAUUAAAGGGAGCUCGAAGUAUGUUUCUCAAGUUGUGUGAGAGGGAGUAGAGGAAAUGGGUUCGUGGUGUUCUCUAAUAGAAUUGAAAAAAGACGUGUGGAAAUAGAGGAGAGAAAAGAAGUUACUAGACACCUACCCAUUCUGGCAUCUCCUUGGAAAAAACAGUACUGUGUGAGAUUUUUCAUUAUGUGUUCCUGUCUGUUGUUCAGCCCUUAGAUCAAUUACGUUUCAUUUUGAAAGCAACUAUUUGUUUUGGAGGAGAAGCUAAGGUUUUUUUGUUGUUUCCUGAGAGCAAGUGUUGAAGCAUUCUGGUAGGCUGCCUGCCUGGAAGCAGCAAAGAAGGGAAAAGAUUUUUUUUAAUGAUUUUUUUUUUUUUUCUUGUCACUAGAAUGUAUAACUGAUGUCAUCCAAACCAUACAUGUUCUAAGCCUGGUUGCACCCAGAGCUAAUUCAGUGAUAGGAUUCUUUUAGAAGAAUAGUUCAGAUUUCACAUUUCUGUGGAUGGGAUCUGUGUUUUGUCGCUGAAUACCUUGCCAAGCCAGCCUCUCUUCAGUGACUUGCUCAGCAAAAGUGCUAGUAAAAUCAAAUACUUAGUUUCUUUUCUCUAUGCCGGCUGCCAUGGGUGUAUUUCCUCCCUCAGGACAGAAAUGAGACUAACUAGUAGCUCAAAUGUUGCAACUACCUUAGUAUUCUUGAGCAAGUUUUCUGCUCUGAAACGUUUUCAAAAAAUGACCUUUUCUUGGACCGUAAGUGGAUGGCAAAUUCUGGUAAGGACAUCUCAGUUGUCUUCCAGUUGUUUUUUGUUGAUGUUUCUGAUAAAAUUUAAGGCAUGGAUUUUCUUUUAUGUACAGUAUUUCUGAGGCGUUUCACUUAAUCAAAGAAACUGCACUGACAACACAAGGACACACCAAAUCAGUUCUACUUCAGGAACUCAUUUCGCUUAAAUGCUGAUCAGCCAGCCCAGUACAACAGUAUUAGUCAGGCUGCUUCUUAUGUUUGGUGGCAAAGAGGUAUUUUUUUAUGUCAUCUGUCUGUAAAUGCUUAGUAUCUGUAAACUGCUCAGGUAUUCUCUCAUCUACAUGUGGGGGAACAAAAAAAAAAGAGACUGGAUGAGGAAGUGUUUUUGUAGCAUGAAAAGAAACAACCUAAGUAAGAGCAAGUGUAGCUAUGAAAGAGGAUGCUGAAUUCUUGCAUGCCGUACAAACACCUACAUCAUUUAACCUGUUCAUAAAUACUCUCCAUGUAAAGAUCUAAGAGUACUUUACAGUACCAGUUAGUUUUUACAGGAUCCUACCUACAAAAAUGAUGUCUUACCAAAGCCACAUAUAGUGGCUUUCAUGGAGUGAUGUUAAUCACAGUACAGCCAGCAGCAAUGCUAAAAAUAAAUGCUGCUGAGAUGAAAGUAUAACAAGAAGCACAAUGUCUGUGCUGAAGGGAAUGUUGUGGAGAGCUAACUGCCCCAGUGCCCAUCUGGCAGACAAGCACAGACAGUUUGAAUUGUAUCACAGCAUGCAAAUUUUGGUUUGUAGUUUUUCUUUGGAUGUUGUGACACCACAGCUGCAGUUCUACGUCCUCACGGAGGUUGAGUUUCAAGGCCACAGAGAUGUCCUCCAAUGCAGUGUGCCCACCCACAGAUGCUGGCUGAAAGGUUUAACCCAUGGAGCAGCAUCCCUCAAAGGAAAUGCAGUGAGUGUCAUACAGCAGCUUGGAUAAAAGCACUUUAAGAAGAGAGAAAAUAUUUGUCCAUAACAGAAAAUUGAGAGCCAGCACAAUGAAGUGGGAAGAAUGUUAACAAUUUACCAAGCUUGAUCAGAAUGCAGAGCAGAACUGUUCAGAGUCUUCAGCCACCGUCUGGGGAUGCUGACUCCACUACCUCUCUAGUAGACAUUUUUCAAGUUCUCUGGUGCAAUUGAGGCUGUUCCCUCUCUUCCUAUCACCGUUACCUGGGAGAAGAAGCUGACCCCUACCUUGCCACAACCUCCUUUCAAGUAGUAAAG